AUGUUCAAUCUAUCUUUCACUGACCAUAGUUACGAUUUUCAUGUCUCAAAUUCUCCAAUUUCACAUACAUGUGGAAAAACUGCAACCUACUGUCGACAGGAAAGGGAAGGGAAAGGUUGACCCAACUGACGAUGUUGCCUUUUCAUGUAGUCUUCAACUGCCAUCAUUUGACCUGGGUAUCGGAUACACACAACCGGAUGAUUUGCAAUCUACAGAAAUUCAGAAGUAGGUAGAUGCUGUCAUAUCUGAUGUGAUCACAGCAUCCAAAAAUGUUGACGAAGAGGGAUCACCAACUCCUGAACUGGCUUCUGAAUUACCAGUUAAGCGGGUUUCAAGGCUUGCGAGGAUACUGAGGUCUCCAUUUGUUACCGGGGAAGGAAAGGUAUCGCGGCAUGACGGUAAUGUUAUUGUAUUUGGAAAUUAUAAAGACCAUGUUGAAGAAGCUGAUAAAUUAGCAUUCUUGGAUUGGUUUCAGAGAAGGUAUAAACCUAAAAACAGGCAUGUACAUUUUUCUUACAUUUUCUAAUACAUUGCUCACAUAGUCAUGGUAUCUUAACAGUCAAUUUGUGGCAACAGGAAAAAGUUUAAUGAGCACGAUGACCAAAUCAAAUCAGCCUUUAGUAUUGGCUUAUACCCAGUCGGUCAUAAGACAUGGUUCCACCCGCUGAUAGAUGCUGAAACGUCUUUGAGUGGUUCGGUAUGGUAACAUUUAUGUAUCUGUUCACAACACAUUUCCUUGUUAACAAGUCACACAACAUUAAGAACCUCAUACCACACCAUGGACAUACCGUUAAGCUGUCCAUUGUCAUAGAGUCAUAACUUUUUAAUGUUGUACCUAAUUGUGUACUUCAUGUUCAAGAGCACAUGGAUGCAUGCUUCUACUACAUUCGCCAGGUAGCGAAAUUUGGGAAAGUAAAGUUUAGAGCUACAACGACGGAUGCUUGGUUCUAGAACAAGAUAAAAGAUAUAUUUCCUGCUUUCCAAAAAGAUCCUCAUGUUCUGUUGUCGGAGAGCAGUUUGAUUAAGGCUGUCACACGUCACAUGAUAUCCCUGAGCACAUCUUGGGCCAAUAUAGACUAUGUGUUCAUGUCAGUCCUGCCCACAAUUAAAGCUCGCUGGAUGCUGGGUCUGGUUGAAUUUAGAAGCCAUACUUUAAUGCUGUUCAAUUCAGCUAGAAAAACUUAUCGUGAUUGGAAGGUGCUGGAAGGUAUUGAGUCUUAUGUGAAGGUAUUGCCUGCUCUUAUGAAGGCGUUGGGAAUUUCGAAAAAGACCCCGAUUAUAACGAAUCUGAAUGCAAGCAAAUGAAGGUGACCAUUGAGAGUACCCUGCUUCAGCAGACGAAUAGGGUGUUCGUGAUAUUGUAUGCAUUGUAUAUCUUCCGUGAUGGCAGAUGUUCUAUUCUCCAUCAAUUCGAUGCUGCAAAAUGUAACUUGAUAUCGCCUCGCUACUCUACAAACACCGGGAACCUUAUGUGAAGAAGGCGAGACGGGCUUUUAAAGGGGAGGGGAUUGUUAUAGAAUGACAAAUAUGAAAAAAUUGGUAAAUGAAUUUUAUGCUUCAGUUGGUAGCCAUUUAUAUUUCUUUCAUGUGGAGGUGUUUGUACUCAAUACUGUCAUGUGGAUGUGAAUAUUAUUUUGCAAUACAUCAGU